UGGGGAAUCUUGCGCAAUGGGCGAAAGCCUGACGCAGCGACGCCGCGUGCGGGAAGAAGGCCUUCGGGUUGUAAACCGCUUUCAGGAGGGACGAAGCCACUCGGGUGAAUAGCCCAGAGGGUGACGGUACCUCCAGAAGAAGCCCCGGCUAACUACGUGCCAGCAGCCGCGGUAAUACGUAGGGGGCUAGCGUUGUCCGGAUUUAUUGGGCGUAAAGAGCGUGUAGGCGGCCAGGUAGGUCAGCUGUGAAAACUGGAGGCUCAACCUUCAGAGGUCGGCUGAAACCAUCUGGCUAGAGUCCGGGAGAGGAGAGUGGAAUUCCUGGUGUAGCGGUGAAAUGCGCAGAUAUCAGGAAGAACACCCGUGGCGAAAGCGGCUCUCUGGAACGGUACUGACGCUGAGACGCGAAAGCGUGGGGAGCGAACAGGAUUAGAUACCCUGGUAGUCCACGCCGUAAACGAUGGGCGCUAGGUGUGGGAGGUGUCGACUCCUUCCGUGCCGAAGCUAACGCAUUAAGCGCCCCGCCUGGGGAGUACGGCCGCAAGGCUAC
rnacentral:rRNA from 1 species